rnacentral:rRNA from 1 species
CCUACGGGGGGCAGCAGUAGGGAAUCUUCCACAAUGGGCGAAAGCCUGAUGGAGCAACGCCGCGUGGGUGAAGAAGGUCUUCGGAUCGUAAAACCCUGUUGUUAGAGAAGAAAGUGCGUGAGAGUAACUGUUCACGUUUCGACGGUAUCUAACCAGAAAGCCACGGCUAACUACGUGCCAGCAGCCGCGGUAAUACGUAGGUGGCAAGCGUUAUCCGGAUUUAUUGGGCGUAAAGGGAACGCAGGCGGUCUUUUAAGUCUGAUGGGAAAGCCUUGGGCUUAACCGGAGUAGUGCAUUGGAAACUGGGAGACUUGAGUGCAGAAGAGGAGAGUGGAACUCCAUGUGUAGCGGUGAAAUGCGUAGAUAUAUGGAAGAACACCAGUGGCGAAAGCGGCUCUCUGGUCUGUAACUGACGCUGAGGUUCGAAAGCGUGGGUAGCAAACAGGAUUAGAUACCCGGGUAGUC